UACGGAGGGUGCGAGCGUUAAUCGGAAUUACUGGGCGUAAAGCGCACGCAGGCGGUUUGUUAAGCUAGAUGUGAAAGCCCCGGGCUCAACCUGGGAUGGUCAUUUAGAACUGGCAGACUAGAGUCUUGGAGAGGGGAGUGGAAUUCCAGGUGUAGCGGUGAGAUGCGUAGAUAUCUGGAGGAACAUCAGUGGCGAAGGCGACUCCCUGGCCAAAGACUGACGCUCAUGUGCGAAAGUGUGGGUAGCGAACAGG
rnacentral:rRNA from 1 species